AGUGAACGCUGGCGGUAGGCCUAACACAUGCAAGUCGAACGGCAGCACAGUAAGAGCUUGCUCUUACGGGUGGCGAGUGGCGGACGGGUGAGGAAUACAUCGGAAUCUACUUUUUCGUGGGGGAUAACGUAGGGAAACUUACGCUAAUACCGCAUACGACCUACGGGUGAAAGUAGGGGAUCUUCGGACCUUGCGCGAUUGAAUGAGCCGAUGUCGGAUUAGCUAGUUGGCGGGGUAAAGGCCCACCAAGGCGACGAUCCGUAGCUGGUCUGAGAGGAUGAUCAGCCACACUGGAACUGAGACACGGUCCAGACUCCUACGGGAGGCAGCAGUGGGGAAUAUUGGACAAUGGGCGCAAGCCUGAUCCAGCCAUACCGCGUGGGUGAAGAAGGCCUUCGGGUUGUAAAGCCCUUUUGUUGGGAGAGAAAAGCAGCAGGUUAAUACCCCGCUGUUCUGACGGUACCCAAAGAAUAAGCACCGGCUAACUUCGUG
rnacentral:rRNA from 1 species